GAGAAUUAAGGCUAAUGGUGGAUGCCUAGGUAGUUUGAGCCGAAGAAGGACGCUUGAUCGAGAGCGAUAACAACGGAGAGUCCUCCAUCAGACAUUAAAAUCCGUUGGUUUCCGAAUAGGGCAACCUCACUUCGUGUAAACGAAGUGAACCCGUAUUGCACGUGGAAAUUCGAAACACGAGGAUUUAGCGUUUCGGAUUUUCUGGUGCAGUGCGGGUGGGGUACUUGGUAAACUGAAACAUCUAAGUAACCAAAGGAAAAUAAAACAAAAUAUCCUGAGAGUAAUCGAAGGAUUGUGAUUUCGUCAGUAGCGGCGAGCGAAAGCGAAACAGCCUAAAUUCCUUGUAAAAGGAAUGUUGCAGGGCAGAUGAUCCGGGAUUGAUUUUGAAUAGAAAAAUGGUAUGGAAAGGCCAACCAAAGAAAGUGAAAGUCUUGUAUUUUAAAUUUAAAAUCACCCUAGUCUGUUCCUAAGUACCACGAGGCACGGCAAACCUUGUGGGAAUCAGGGUCGUUCACGAUCCAAGGCUAAAUACUCAAACUGACCGAUAGUGAACUAGUACCGUGAGGGAAAGGUGAAAAGUCCCCCGAGAGGGGAGUGAAAUAGAACCUGAAACCAUUAGCUAACAAACAGACAGAGCCGAGCUUAGCUCGGUGAUGUCGUGCCUAUUGAAGAAUGAGCCAGCGAGUUACGGCACUUUCUUUGUUUAAUCCCGAUUAAUCGGGAGAAGGCAGAGAGAAAUCGAGUCCUAAUAGGGCGAUUAUUUAGAAAGUGUUGUAGACCCGAAACUGAGUGAGCUAACCAUGAACAGGGUGAAGUUAGGAGAAAUCCUAACGGAAGCCCGUACCCGUUGUCGGUGUAAUGGCAUGGGAUGAUUUGUGGUUAGGGGUAAUAUGCCAAUCGAACUCAGAGAUAGCUGGUUCUCCCCGAAAUAUAUUUAGGUAUAGCGUUCAUUUAAUGUUUUAUGGGUUAGAGCUACUGGAUGGUACGCCGAGCUUAGGCGAGGCGGAUCAACCAAACUCCGAAUACGUAAAAUUAGUUAAUGAGCAGUCAGUCUCGCCGGGAUAAGCUGGCGCAGGCUAAAGGGAAACAACCCAGAUUCUCGUCUAAGGUUCUUAAAUGAUUAUUAAGUGAAAAGGUCGUUAAAUUUCCAACACAGUGGGGAGGUUGGCUCAGAAGCAGCCAUCCUUUAAAGAGUGCGUAACAGCUCACCUAAAUAGGCCAGCUCAGCUGGCAGGAAAUUAAGCGCCUAAAAUGAUCGGAACUAAAUAAUCUACCGAAGACAGAAACUUAUGCGUAGCACAAGAACUUCAAAUACAGUAAUCCUAAAUUUUGAGUUUCUCGCGCUGCGCAGGAGUGGUAGGGGAGCAUCCAGCACAUAGUGAAGAUAAGUCGUAAGACUUGUUGGAAUGUGCUGGAGAGAGAAUGCUGGCAUAAGUAGUGUAUCUCCCGAUGAAAACUCGGGAUGCCGAAAACCUAAGGUUUCCUCAGCAAUGUCAAUCAUCUGAGGGUAAGUCGAAUCUAACCCCGCCAUGUAUUUAGUGGCGGGGGAUGUACAAGCAGUUAAUAUUCUGCUACCUCAUUAUUUUCGUUAUUAUUUGACUUUUGACGAAUUUUAAUAUGUAAAGCUUCCUAUACGGGAGUCUAAAUAGUUUGCCUUCGGGUAAACUAUGAAUGCAACCCCGCCUUUGGCGGGGGAGUUUACAGAUUUAAGAUUCCAAGAAAAGAAAGUUAAAGAGAAAAUAAUGCGAUCGUACCGAUAACCAACACUGGUGGGUUGGUAGAGUAUACCAAGGCAUACGGGUAAUGAUGAUUCAAGGAACUCGGCAAAAAAGCUGGAUGUAACUUUGGAAGAUGUCCUUCCCGCCUUUGGCGGGAUGCAACAAAUGAUUGUCAACCGACUGUUUAGCAAAAACACAGGUUCCUGCAAACCAGAAAUGGGAAGUAUAGGAGCUGAGGCCUGUCCGGUGCUGGUAAGUUAAUCAUUACGGGUGACUCCGCCUUUGGCGGGGAAGCUUGUGGUGCAAGCUCCAGUGAACGACAGCUCUAACCCUGAGAGUUCUAAGGUAGCGUAACCCCUUGCCGGGUAAGUUCCGGCCUGCAUGAAAGGUUUAACGAGUUGACAACUGUCUUGAAUCGUUGCCCGACGAAAUUGAAAUGGCUGUGAAGAUGCGGCCUAUCUACACCUGGACAAAAAGACCCCGGGAGCUUAACUGAAAUUAGGUAUUGGUGAAAAGGAGUAAACUGUUGAGCGUAGGAGGGAGCCUUCGGGCAACAAUGAAACACCUCUCUUUUAUUUUUUUUCACCUUAUCGCGCUUUUUGCGGGAGACAGUGCUUGAUGGUCAGUUUAACUGGGGCGGUUUCCUCCAAAAAGGUAACGGAGGAGUGCAAAGGUUAGCUUAUCCCGCAUAGAAAUCGGGAUGGACGUGCAUACGCAAAAGCUAGCUUAACUGUGAGGACUACAAUCCAAACAGAGACGAAAGUCGGCGUAAGUGAUCCCCCGUCUCGCUGUGAUUGCGGGCGGGGCUUAACGGAUAAAAGCUACCCCGGGGAUAACAGGCUAGUCGCCUCCGAGAGUUCACAUCGACGAGGCGGUUCGGCACCUCGAUGUCGGCUCACCGUAUCCUGGGGCUGAAGUCGGUCCCAAUGGUCGGGCUGUUCGCCCGUUAAAACGGUACGCGAGCUGGGUUCAGAACGUCGUGAGACAGUUCGGACUCUAUCCGGUGUAGACGCUUUGAAUCUUGAAGAGACUCUUUCACAGUACGAGAGGACCUGAAAGAAGAAAUCCCUGGUCUACCGAUUGUCCCAAAAGGGCAUUGUCGGGUAGCUAUAUUUCUAUUUGAUAAGCACUGAAUGCAUAUCAAGUGCGAAGCAAACUCUAAGAUUAGGAUUCUUUUAGCUUCCCCAAAGAUUAUGGGGUUAAUAGACGUGAGGCGUAAGUCUCGUAAGGGAUUUAACCGAAACGCACUAA
rnacentral:rRNA from 1 species